AUUAAUCUUCUAUUACAACGAAAAAAAAUAGCAACCGCGACAUGGAGGAAGGAAGAGACAGAAGGAGAUUAAAAUUAUCGACCUUGACUGAGUAUGGAAAGGAGCAGGACAUGGGAAUCGAAGCAUUGGAAGCCAUGCUUAAGAAUGAUGAAUUUUGAGGUGGGGCUGGCUGGCUGUUCAUCACGGUGCUGUGUUUUUUCCGUUCCCAGGAGUUUGGCCAUGUUCUUAUGCUAUGCUCCUUUAGUUAUGCUGUUUUGGAUUCUUAGCUCGACCAGUUUUGUUUUCAGUGGGAAAAGAGGUGAACAGGGAGCUAUGAUUUCUAUCUAGAUCUAUAUAUGGUUUGCUGUGUGUGCUCAAUCUCCCUAAAUUAUUAUUUUUCCUGCUAAAGUUUGCCAUGGAAAUUGAUUCCAACAUGGCACAACAAUUGAUAGCAGCCAGCAAAACUUUGACCUAACCCGUUUAUUUUCUAACAACAUCGAUAGUUCCGUCAUUAAGUUUCAAUCUUUUUUAUUUGGUUAAGGUGUCAUCGUGAUUGCCUUAUAAUUAUGUUCCCUGUGUUCUUUUUUCCCCUGGCAGGUGUGGAGUGAUCAGAGUGAAUUUUGGGCUUUUGAGUGAGAAUUCUAUGUUUUUUCUUGUUGAAUUUAGGAUUUUCAAGAGCCAAGAGUUUACUUGACUGAUAUCGCAGACUUGCUGAUUAUGCCAUGGACUAUUCAAGACAGAAAUAGCAGACCAUGCCUUCAGGCAAUUCUGAGCUUUUUUUUUUUUAACAACAGAAAAGAUAGCAAACAAGAUAUGUGGCUGCUGUUGCACCGGGGCAUCCAUUCCUUUUCUUUUCUGAGAUUCAUGUUGACAGAUUGUACAAUCAAACACAUAAUGCUUUAUUCAGCAUCUCACAGCUAAGAUUAAAUUCUGCUUUGUGUGCGGUCCAUUGAUCUGUCCACUAUGUUCAUCCCUUUAUUUUUGUUUUUGGUUUUCUCUGCCUUGUAUUGACAUUGAAACCAUUGCUCACACAUCCCAUCUUUCUUCUUUCCUUUUUUCUUCUUGGAUAAGGUUCACAGAUACAUGAGUUGAUUAUGGUGCCGUGGUGAUCACAUAGUUGGCUUGCUCGAGCUCAACAGCAGGAUUUCUGUUCUGUUGGUUGUAAAUGAAUCAUUUGGGUUAUGUUUUCUGUUUUUAACCAAUCCAUUUGCCACUUUGAUUUCCACAAGUCCAUGGUGGGUUACAAAACUAUCAACGAAUCACAUUACCUACCUUUUGCAGGGAAACUGAAGCUGUUGGAGGACUGCAACUGCCACCCCAAAUCGAGAGUGUGGAUGCAGCCGUGGUCUUCAACAACUUUUUGACAGCUACUGUUAUGGAGAUGGACCAAACCACUUAAUUUUUGUGGCAAGGAUGAAGGAGGUUUACUUUGGAUCCAGGCAACCUUUUGGUUUUUCUGUGUAAGAGACAUGUAAUUGCUUUAAAGGAUUUGAAGCAGCUCAUAAAACUGACUUGUUGUUUCCUUUUUUGAUUUUGAUGCGAAGAGCUGUAUUUGGUAGUUUAAGACA